rnacentral:lncRNA from 10 species
AGCACUUUGGGAGGCCAAGGUGGGUGGAUUGCUUGAAUCAAAGAGUUUGAGACCAGCCUGGGCAACAUGGUGAAACCUCGACUCCACUAAAAAUACAAAAAAUUAGCCAGGCAUGUUGGUGUGCGCCUAUGGUCCCAGCUACUGAGGAGGCUGAGGUGGGAAAAUUGCUUGAGUCUGGGAGGUAGAGGUUGCAGUGAGCAGAGAUUAAGCCACUACACUCUAGUCUGGGCGACAGAGUGAGACUAUCCCCCCACUCCCCCAAACAAUACCCACCGUUGCUGUGGUUGCAGGUACUUGGACAGCCAAGCACUGUGGUUAAGCUCCACGGCCCCUCCCUCCCACAGUGGGAGUCAUAUGACACCAGCCUGCCUAAGCCCCAGGACCUAGGGCAGCAGGGGUGUAAAUGGCUACAGCCCAGCACCCUGGGCCUGAACUGUGAGUUCCCUGGUUGACCUCUGGCUUGUGUCAUAAUUUGAGUCACUGGAGUUAUGUUCUCUUUUCUUCAGUUACAGGUUCUGAUUUUUAGCUAGGCUCAUGAAUACGUGAAAAGAAGACAACAUUUCCAACCCUCCUUUGCAGCUAGACAUGGCCAUGUGACUCAGUUCUGGCCAAAAGAAUGUAAAGAAAACCAUCUGUGCAGUUCUGGGAAUUGCUGUUAAAAAAAAAAAAGGAGAGUACUCUUCUCCUUCCCAUACUCCUUCCUGAUACCUGGAAUAUAGCAUGGAAAGGCUGAGCUCCAGCAGCCAUAUUGUAUCAUGGGGUAGAAGUCAUGUUUGUGGAUGGCAGAGCAAUAAGACAGGAGCCUUUGCAUCAUGGAGCACUCUGUUGGCUCUGGAUUGAUUCCCUCAGGACAGCUAAACAUGAGAGAGAAACUGAGCUUUGAACUUGUUUGAGACAAUGAUAUUUGAGGGUUUUCAUUCUUCUCAACCCAACUGAAUCCUACCUGAUACACAGGGCUUCUGACUUGCUCCUUGGGCCUGAGUUCUCACCUUGGUCACUUGCCCAGUGUAAGGAUGGGGGCCCGGCCUGCUCCAUCCUGCAACUGGAGUUCUGCCCUCACCCCAGCUCAGUGGCUGGUCCCUGCUACCUGCUGGAACCCCAUCUAUGCUGCCUCCCCACCCAGCAGGAUUCUGUUCCUCGGCUGGACCCUUGCCAGGGUGGAGGGCAGGUCUCCCACUCUGCUUGCUUUCCUGGAGUGAGCUCUCUUGCCUGCCUCCCACUCUCUGCUUCCCACUCAUCCCUGUGCCCUUGGCUCCUUCGCUGGGCCCACCAGGAUGGCUGCUCUGUGGACAUCCCAAUGCCUCCAGUAUCUUCCCCAGUGGAGAGGUCCAGGAGCAGCCCAUUCCUGACAUACAGAAACAACACCUCCUUCAUUCAUUGAUUCAUUUCAACAGAUAUUUACCAAGCAUUUGUUAUCAGCAUUGAGAACACCACAGGAAAUAAGAUCAGGUCGAAUGGUGGGCCUAGUGCAAGUGCUUACAGGCACAGGCUUUAGAGUGAGAACAUCAGGCCCAGCCAGCAAAGACACUGAAACCCAUCACAAGGAAUUUUCAGGAGUUUCUUUUAAGGAUAUGCCCAUGACCUGGGUGAUGUGCGCAGGCCUGGAUGAGUCACUAUACCUCCCAGUCCUCAGCCACCCCAUCUGCACAUGGCGAGGCUGAACUGCAUGCUCUUGAUGACUCUGUGCAGGUCUGACCUCCUGUGAAGGAAGGAAAGGGCCCAGGGGCCCCUAGGCCUGGUUUUGCCAUGCAUGGGCUGCUGAUGGAUUUAGGGCCUUAAAACAACCACUUGAUUAUUAAUUUCUUUAGAGACAGGGUCUCACUCUGUUGCCCAGGAUGCUUCGACCUUGUUCUGAUGCAUGGGGACUUCUGGUGAGUUCCCUGGGCCUCCAUCCUGGUCUGGUCACCUUCUCAGGACUCCAGUUGAGUUGGGCUGUGUUUGACAAACCCUUUUAAGUGAGUGCAAAUAAACAAUGUCACUGGAUUCCUGCAUCACUGACCCCUCAGUUCCAUGUUGCUGGCCUCUGCCCACCUGCCCUUCAGACACUGUCAUCAUGAAAGUAUCAUCCUUAGCAUGGAAACUCACACACUGUAAAUGCUCCAUGUAAAGUGGUGAAGGGGUGGAGAGGGGAACCUCCCUCAUGGACCAUCACAGAUGCUAAA